rnacentral:rRNA from 1 species
AUUGAACGCUGGCGGCAUGCUUUACACAUGCAAGUCGAACGGUAACAGGUCUUCGGAUGCUGACGAGUGGCGAACGGGUGAGUAAUACAUCGGAACGUGCCUAGUAGUGGGGGAUAACUACUCGAAAGAGUAGCUAAUACCGCAUGAGAUCUACGGAUGAAAGCAGGGGACCUUCGGGCCUUGUGCUACUAGAUCGGCUGAUGGCAGAUUAGGUAGUUGGUGGGGUAAAGGCUUACCAAGCCUGCGAUCUGUAGCUGGUCUGAGAGGACGACCAGCCACACGGGGACUGAGACACGGCCCAGAGUCGUACGGGAGGCAGCAGUGGGGAAUUAUGGAAAAUGGGCGAAAGCCUGAUCCAGCAAUGCCGCGUACAGGAUGAAGGCCCUCGGGUUGUAAACUGCUUUUGUACGGAACGAAAAGCCUGGGGCUAAUAUCCCCGGGUCAUGACGGUACCGUAAGAAUAAGCACCGGCUAACUACGUGCCAGCCGCCGCAGUAA